rnacentral:lncRNA from 1 species
AGCUUUGGUUAAAUGAAGAGACUUAAAUGAGGGUUGAGAGUCCAUUUGAUGCAGCUCGCAUUGAGGACCAGCUCUCUCAACCAAGAAGAUCGGCCCAUAUUAAAGCUCAAUGAAACCGAGAAGCCGUAUCGACCAUCCUUGGAGAGUUGCAGUCAUCGAUCUAGAAAAAUCGGUGCCCCCUCAACUUCCUUGGAGGCCUAGGUGAGCAACUAACGGAGUUUCUAUCUUUUCCUUUUCUGUUCGUUAUUUCCAACCCAAUUUCGACCAUCCUACAGUGCUUAUUUCAGAAAACGCAAAACAUAUAAAGUGUAGAUCCAGAAGUCUUUGUUCAUUUGGCUUUGGAAUCAGGUUGAUCCGAUCUAUAUCAACAAAGAUACGACUGUUCUAUUGAGCCUGCUCAGUGUUGAAAUUUCUGUUCGCCCUGUUUUCCCGUGUGCAAGUCACUCUCCCGAUCCUAUUGUUUGAGAAAGCCUACCCUUGGCUUGCAUCAUUAUUGCUCAAAAGCCAUUGAUUAUGAUGAUGAAAAAACUUCGAACACUACCUAUCGAAUUAUCUUAUUCGUCAACCAUGUGUGCCAAAUCUUUCAUACAAGUUGUAUUUGAGAACUACUUUCAUGUUAUCGAAGCACAAGAGCCAUGGUCAAGUUCAAUCAAACUCUUGUAGACCCUCAUUUCACAGCUUGUCCAGCCCAUCGAGAACAUUACAGGCCUAUUUGGUUCUUGAGAUAGUUUCAUUCGAUGAAACUGUGUCGUAGGUAGUAUUUUGAAAGCUCACAUGGAUGCAGAAUCUUGUGUGAUACGGCAAGAUAAAAUCAUUUUGCCAAAUCUUGGUCUUAAGAAUCCAAGAUCAAAAAUGUUAUGCAAUUGACAUAGCAUGUCCUUAGUGACUAACACUAAACUCCUGAUGGCCCAAGUAUUGAUGGGGCAAUUGCUGCAUACCCAAAUGCAUUAGACCCCAUGCAUGCAAUAUGUCGGAUAAUUUGAGUCUCACUAGGAAUUCGUAAGAUCCAAGAAAUCUUGUUUACUGGAUCUAUAUUUUCUGGCUGCGGCCAAUAAUUUUCUGUACCAGUGGCCCCCGUAUGCCCUUUUGAGUUUGCUCCCGCACUAUCAUGGUUGAGAUUUCGUGGUUUAAGCUUCACAAUGAACCUCAAAAGUUACUGUCCUUCCUUGUUCAAAGGUGCGUGAUGAAUCGAAUUUAUCGCGCUUGUGAUGGGAAACGGUCAGACACUUGAAGAGUCCCAAACAAUCCAUUCCUCACGAAACAAAAUUGUAAUGAAAAAGAUCUUUGGGUGAAAACAAUUGAAAACGUCCCAUUUAUUAUUUUCACUCUUUCCACGAGGACCCGGCCGAAAUCAGAACAUGGUUUUGACAAAAAUGAAACUAUAGUUCUCGGUUAGAAAACAUGUUUUUUUUUUCUUUUCUAAUCAAACACAAUAAUUACGAAUAUACACAAGUAAAAACUAAAAUUAUUCUCAUUUUCAUAGGCAUAUUUUGAGAAAUCACGUGCGGUCUAUAUAGAAAAUUAAAGCAGUGACUGAGGUUGAAUCUGCCUUGAUCUUAGCUAUUAGGCCUUAAUGGAACUUAUUACAAAAAACCCAUUGUCCGCUUGAACCAAAGGUUAUAGAUGCUAUAACAAAACUUCGUAAGAAAAUAACUAGAGAAAUCUAUGAAGAUCGAAUUAGGUCUCAAGAUAAAAAUCGGUCUACCAACCACAAGAAAAGUGGAAAUGAAAGCAAUGUAGUUUCGAGUGAAUGGAUACUCCAAGAUAGAACAAGAAAAGUUGAAUCCGAUUAAUUCAACUUCUAUGACUUUGGAAUAAUUAGAAAAUUACAAAAAACGAAAUUAUUCAUUUUGAGCAACAAAGUUCGAUUUAAUCAAAUUUGACAACAGGUUUUCUAACAAGUCUUGCAAGGAGCUUUUGGAACUCUUAAUAGUUGGUUGAAUAACGAGUUACAUUACUUGCCCUGCCCUCGACUGUCUGGCGGGAUCUGGGUGCACGCACCAUAGCCCCACCAUCAUCAGGCACUUCAUCUCCUCCUAUGGGAACUCCGAGUGCAACACCUCGUCAACCGCGCGCCGAGGACGUUGCUAGCAAGGUAGAGUUGCUAGACCCACUCGUGUAGUGAGACCUGGAUCUCUGUUCUCAUAGCUCCUCCGGCCAUGACACCAAAGCUAAACAUGUCGGACUCCGGGGUGGCCUUCCCUCCAAUAAAGUAUUUUGGCGCUAGAUACCCGCAAGUCCCAACCACGUCUGCUGUCUGAGUCCUGAAUCGGGGGUCGACAAGCUUGGCCACUCCAAAGUCGGCAAGCUUGGUGCUGAAGUUGGAGUCGAGUAGUACAUGGGCUGCCUUUAUGUCCUGGUGGAGCACAUAUUGCUCGAGAUCAUCCUCAUAGCUCCUCUGGCCAUCAUGCCGAAGCUGAACAUGUUGGACUCCGUGGUGGCCUUUGUGGGAUGCAAAACGUGCAAUCCCAAGAUCUUCAUAACCAAAACAAGAGCACAAAUGAUUGAGUAAAAAGAUUAACGCACCUAUUUUGAAAUCUAUCGUUCUUGAUGAGGAAGUAGAAAAAUGAUGAUCCACUCGCUAGUCAUUCUCCUCUAUUGUCCUUUGUAUUACUGACUUAAUGAGCUGGUCCCCUCACCCUUUAGCGCUAGGUAAACGCUCCUUAUGUGAGGAUCUUUGUAAGAAUUAGGGUUAGAUGAGAGAUUUGAGCACUAUUUAUAGAAUUUUCAACUAGGUCCUCUCAUUAUAAGCUAGGCUCAACUCGGCCCACAUUAGCCAGUCCCAUAUUAGACUAAUAAAGAAACAUUUUAUUUCACUUUAGACCAACCAACCCCGUAAAAUGGUAAAUUACAAUAUCAAUUUAUGUAGCCUACAUCUUGAAAACUCUUACAUUCUCUCACUUGGGCUAUAUUAAUUGAAAUUGUACUGUAUGUGCGCAUAUUAGUUUAGAAAUAAUUAUUAAUAAUCAAUUCCAUCCCAUAAAGUUUUUUUUUUUUUUUUGGUGACCCAGGGAACCCCUGCACAGCCGACAGCUGUGAAGUAAACAUUGGGAAGGCACGUAGGAAACCACCACCAACGCACCCCGGGUAAGUCGCCAAAUGAUCCGUCAGCCUCCUUGCAACUUGCGUUGCAGGGGCUUUGAACUCUAGACCUCCUACGUGGAAGUCUAGAGCCUACCCAACGGAGCCACCGCGACGGGUGGUUCCAUCCCAUAAAGUUUCAAACACCAAAUCAUGACAGUAAUUGCAUGUAUACACAUAGAGCCUUCCAUGAUCAUGAGUGCUUUUAACUUUAUUGAUAUGGAUUCAAUAUGGUAGUAUAGCAAAUGGAUAAUACCUCUCACAGAGAAAUCCCAUUUGUCAAUCAAUGUUCUCUUACAUUAAGUGUCACAAAAAACUUGUGCCACUAGAUAAUGUCUUUAUGGUUCCAAUGAACUCACACAUGCCUUAUUUUUAUGGUUAACAUUUCUUUAUAUAUAACAAGACAUAUGCAUAAGGCUAAUAACCGGAUGCCCCUAGCUUUCACUCAAGGUUUAUACAAUACAUUGAGACUUUUAUUAAUAUGUAUUUAACAUAAUAACAACACAUUAAAAAAUAUUACUAAAUGUAACAAACACAAAUGUAAACUUUAUUGCAGUAAAACCGAAAGAGCUCCCACUAAACAACAAUAUCUCAUGAUGCUUUUAAGCUCAUGUUAAUGACAUGUUGCUCAAACACACAAUGGCAUAGGCAUUUAGUUAGUGGAUCUGCAACCAUAUUAUCCGUGGAAAUAAGUUAUAUUAUAACGUCACAUUUUUUUACGUUUCUUUAUAGUAAAAAAUUUGACUACCAUAUAUUUAGACUCUUUGAGAUGUCUAUCGUUAAUAAAAAUACUAUAAAUUUAUUGUCUCAAUACAACUGUAUGAGUGAAUCCAUAAAAUUAAAAAUGAUCAACUCCUUAAUGAGGUUUUGGAGCUUAAUAGCCUAAGUAGCAGCCUAAAAGAAUAUUACAAACUCUGCUUAUAUAGUAGGAGAUGACAUAGUGUUUUAUUUACUGCAUUUCCCGCUAACAUAAAUAUGUAUUAUGUUAUUGGUCUUGUAUCAUCCUAAUAGCUAGCAAAGUUUUUUACAUCUAAAUAUCCUGCUAGCUACAAGACUUGAACAUCUAUGUAAAUCAUCAUACAUUAUACUUUUAAGUACACUGACACAUGGUAUACCCUUUAACUAGAUUUUCUCAAUAUCUUAAUAAAGACAAUGUAAUAGAUUCAGUUCAUUGCCCUUAAUGAUAAGAGCAAUUUCUAGCUUACAAUGAUGUAUAUUGAAUAUUUCCAAAAUACGAUCAACAAAUGUCAUCUAAGAUAAAUCCAAUAUAUAUGGCGAGGACAAUCUUUACGGACCUUAGUGCAAAGGACAAAAGAUGUAUCGAGAUCACUACUUGUAAGCAAAAUAUCAUGUAUAUAAAAUAUGAGAAAAAUAAAUUUUCUCCCAUUGAUCUUGCAGUAUAUAUAUUAAAUUACUUUGUUCCAAAUUAAACGAAAUAACAUCACUGAAACUUUAAUAAUAUUGUCUGAAAACUUAAAAUUAUGAAUAAUAAUUUUCAGUUUACACACAAGUUUACUUGAAUCAUUUGCUACAAAAUCCUCCGGUUACACUAUAUAGAUUUUGUUAUCGUGUCUAUUUAAAAAGAUAGUAUCUAUUUGGCGUAACUCCAUAUAAAAAAAGAGCUAUUAAUGUCAUGUUCACUUUAAAAGAAUUUUUAAAAAUACUAGAAAAAAAUAACUGUUAAUGUCAUGUUUAUUCUGAAAGAAAGGUUCUUGCUCACAGAAUUGUAGGUCACUACAAUAUCGAUCGCUUUCCCGCCGUGCAAUCGGGGAUCCUAGUGGUCAUAACAAGCGAAGAGAGCUGGUUCUUAUUGAUUCCUAUGUGAUUCAAUGGGGGAUCGAACUCUGGGUUCAUGUAAGCGUCAAACUCGACCAUGACGAUCUGGUUUCGAGGCCCGUCAUUAGCUGUGCUACCAUUGAACAAUCCGAGGAAUUGUCUGGCCAAGUUGGGCGGGAUUGAGAUCCCAACAAGAGCGAGGAAGAAGGCCAUGCCAUCGCUGUACUGAUUAGAGCCAUCAAUCUCGAUGGUGAACAAGAAGCGGGUCGAGAAGUUUGCUUGGAGCCCCGUGACAGGGUCCCAUAUGCGGACAGGCUUGGCGUACUGAAUCCACCCAACCUGGAAGGGCUGCGAAGGAUGGAGGGGGGGUGAUAUUGACAUAUCCAUACGUGGCCUUCACAACUCCCUCGUACAAUAUGUCCCUCCUAUCCGUGUCGAAGCUGCUUAUGUUAAAGUAGAGAGGAGCGACAGAGGGGAACAAAGGACAACAUACAAGGCAGGACUGUUGGAGAUACAAUUGAAGAUUGUGAUCGUGGAUCGAUCCUAAUUGUGGACUGAUUGAUUUAGUGAAUAUGUGAUAGUUUUAGUAAAUAGGAAAUUUAAAAUUCUUUGUCUAUUAUUUCCUUUUCUUCUCUUUCAUUCUUGCACUAUAAAUAUAUUAAUAUACUUGUAUACAAAUCAAUGAAUAUACAGAGAAUUUCCUCCCUUUUUCUUGCAUUUCCUGUCAAGGACAAGAACAAUUGAGCGCGAAUGCAGGCGCGCAACGACAGAGAAUGGGGAGUCAUGGGCGGCAUUCUUAACCCCGGCUUUGGUCAGAAUCGGAUCUGUUACAUUAGGGUGGUCGGAAUCGGAUCUGUUACAUUAGGGUGCUUUAUAACGAACCCAAGGGUACCCAAUGGCAGACCAAACAGAGCAAGCAAUCGUUGAUCAAGCAGCUUCUUCGAAGGUUCCUUGUUUUCUGCUAAAGUCGCUGGAAUGCAUUAGUCCCAAGGAGGGACGGUCUUGUAUAGUGGGUACAACUGCUAUCUUCCAAACAAGAAAUGCCAACAUGGUGUGGCUAUAAUAGAUUGUUCCUGUCAUUUCCCAACCGGGGGAAAAGCUGCGGGUUUUCUAGAUUGACUUGCUUUCGAGGAUAUGAAGAGAGCCGAGAGAGCUGACUAGCGAUGAAACUUUUGCAUUCACCGUGAGGAAGCUUGUAUGGUUCACCUCUUUUACAGACAUCGUCAGACCACUCGAUGUCUCUUGUCCAAAUUUGUACAGGAAAGGAGUCCGAGCUUUGGUUAGAUGAAUAGCAAUUUGCAGAGACUUGAAAUCUGGAAGGAGGACGCACCAUAUAAAGUUGGGUCUGUCAAAAAGCUUGUCGAGCAAUGUCGUCCUCUUGAGCAUUUUGGUUUUAAAUUUCGACAAAGCUCAUCUUGCAACAUGCCAAUUCGCUUUAGGAAUAAUCCACUCUAAUCAUCAGUUUUUUUUCUCUAUUGGCAUCCAAUCUAAUUACCUUAUUCUUCAAAUAUGUGCAUGAAAUCUUUCCUCCAAUGCUGUAGUUUGAGAAUGCCUUUAAUUCAAUGGGAGCACACUAGACAUGAUCAAGUUCGAUCAACUUACUCUUUUUGAUCAUCAUUUCCCAGCUUGCCCAGCCCAUCAUCGAGAACAUUACAGGCCUUUUUGGAUCUUGAGAUUUUUAAGUUUCGUUCAAUGGAAAUGUGUGGUUGGUAUUACUUUGAAAAUUAACAUUGAUGCGGAAUUUUUGUGAUAGGGCAAGAUGAAGUGCACUUCGCAAAAUUUUUAUUUGAAGAAUGCAAUAUUGAUGGGACAAUUGUUGCUUAUAGGACAGAUUAGACUUAGUGCAUGUGAUCGUUGGAUUACGUGGGUCUCACUUGGAGUUUGUAUGAUCAAAUGAAUCUCAUUGUGCUGACGUAUAAGCUGCAGCCGAUAAUUUUCUAUACUGAUGGCCCUGGAAGCCCUUUUAAGUUCGGUCCUUCACUAAUUAUGUUGCGACUUUCAUUGUUGACCUCAAAAGCUAUUGAAGUGAUAUAUAUCUUUUUUCUUGUCCAAAGGUUCCAGAUGAAAAGAAUCUGUCACAUGUCACGGUUGUUAUUGUUGGAGAAAUCUUUCCAGAAUGGUUGUUAUUGUUGGAGAAAUCUUUCCAGAAUAUUUUGAAGCUGACAAAACGUUUCUAUCAGUCUAGUCUGAAUAAGUAUAGACCUUCUGUUUAAAGUCUGAAGACUUUCAGAUCACCAGACUCAAGACUCAAGACUAUUUUCAUUGACAGUUUUUCUAAUCCAGUGACGAAGUGCCGAAGUAUUUGGCUGAGGAUUUAGUCCUAUCCUCUGGAGAAGAUCUCUUGGCUGGAUAAAUAUAACGGAUUCUUUUAUUCGUAAUCAAGAUUGUUUGAAGAUCCGAUGGUCGACGAAAUAUUCUUGGAAGGUUCUAUUCUUGGAAACCAAGAUCUUGAUUGUAUGGGCGAACAGGAUUGAUGGGCUAUCGUCAGGUUCCUUUAAUAGCUCGAAUGAUCUUCUUAAUUGAUUCCGUCCAACGGGUAGAUUGGAGGAAUUCUUUUGGUAAGUGCCAACGGGUAUGAUGGCAUAAAGGAGUAUAAAAGGAAGACAUUCUAGUUGCUUUAGUGCAUGAUAGAGAAAUUCCAGAGUCUAAGCACCUUGAUUAUUAGUCGAUACAUUUUGAGCGAAAUUGUAUACACAAAGAGUGUCUAUACUUAGAGAUACCUUGAGCGAGUGUGGUAGAUCAUCUACACCGAGAAAUCAAGAGAGAACAACGCUGUAACAUCUCUUUGUUCAUAGUGGAAUCCAGCCAAUAGGCUGUCAGUGCAGAAGAGUGGACGUAGGCUUGAAAUAAGCCGAACCACUAUAAACCGCGUGUUCAAUUUUCUCUUCUCUCAAUCUUACUUUGAUUAUUGUUUGUCUCAAAUUUAUCAACUGUCUAGUAUUGUGCAAUAAUUGAGAAAAAUCCUUUAUAUACCUAUUCACCCCUCUAGGUACUUAUACUAGCUAUAUCAGUUAUGAAUAUAAUUUAGGGUUGAUGAGUCUUCAACAUUCUAUUUCUGACCAAAAUAAUACUCAAAAGUUUUUAGAGUGAAAACAACUUAAAACAUUGCUUUUAUGAUUUUCGCUCUUUUUUAUGUGGACCCCACCGAAAUCAAAACAUGGUUUUGACAAGAAUGAAACUGCGUUUCUCAGUAAGAAAACGUGAUUUUUUUCUCUCCAACCUAAUAAUUUAAGAAUAUACAAAAGUAAAAGCAAAAAGUUAUACCCAUUUUCAUGGACAUAUUUUGAGAAAUCACAUGCGGUCUAUAUAAAAAAUUAAAACGGUAUCAAAUGUCGCAUUUGCCUUGACCUUAGCUAUCAUCAUGAAGUUACUACGAAAAACCCAUCUUAAAUAAAUCUCGUAGUCAACAAAGGCCUGAACUAAUCUCAUGAAUCAAAUAAGACAAAAAUCAAGACCCAGGCAGAUGGCCUGAAAAAACAAAUCGUUUGUAACUUGGUCAACUGGAGAAUCGAACCUACCACAGCAUAUUCCAAUUCCUUGACCUCUUUCUAAGUCAUCCCCACGGGUUUUACCUUUAAAAGAGUAAAUUUCGUGGAUGAAAACUAGUGUAAUUCAUGUAGCACUGCUCAAAAUAACAAAGUAGUAAAACAACCGGCCUUGGCGAAAUGUCCUUUCCCUACGCGCCCAGAAUAUUUAAUUAGCAAGAAAGCUCUCCCAUAAUUUCUCAUCUUCUCUAUAUUGUAAACUCUGUUGACAUUCUACCGAUUGCGAAUCAAUACAUUACAAUGCAAUUGUUUCCCGUGAAAGAACCGAGCAACAUUGAAGCAAACGUUAUAAAACUGCAAAAUGAUGUUGUGAUGCUCCCAAUACGUCACAGUUAAUGCAUUUGCUAAAGUCUUUUCACUUUUUUAAGCAUGUAGAUUCAAAGGAUGUGACGCCCUUAGCAUGUCACGGCUAAAGCAGUUACUAAAGUUUUUUCACUUUUUAAGCAUGUAGAAGUCUGUACGAUUAAAGAACACCUAUCACAUAUAAAAUUACAAUGUCCUUUCCCUACACAUUGGGAAUAUUUAAUUAGCAAGGAAGCUCUCCCAUAAUUUCUCAUCUUCUUUAUACAUUGUAAACUCCGUUGACAUUCCACCGAUUGUGAAUCAAUACACUACAAUGCAAUUGUUCCCAAGCAACAUCGAAGCAAACAUUAUAAAACUACAAGACAAUGUUGUGAUGCCCCUAGUACGUCACGGCUAACGCAUUUACUAAAGUCUUUUCACCUUUUUAAGCAAGCAGAAGCCUAUACAGUCAAACAACACCCAUGACAUAUAAAAAUUCAAAGGAUGUGAUGCCUCGGCACGUCACAGCUAAUGCAUUUACUAAAGUCUUUUCACUUUUUAAGCAUAUAGAAGUGUGUACAAUUAAAGAACAUCCAGGACAUAUAAAAUUACAGUUUCCUUUCCCUACACGCCCAAAAUAUUUAAUUAGCAAGGAAGCUCUCCCACAAUUUCUCAUCUUCUCUCUAUCUUGUAAACACCAUUGACAUCCCACUGAUUGUGAAUCAAUACAUUACAAUGCAAUUGUUCCCAAGCAACAUCGAAGCAGACAUUAUAAAACUGCAAGACGAUGUUGUGACUCCCCUAGUAUGUCGCGGCCGACGCAUUUACUGAAGUAUUUUCACUUUUUUAAGCAUGCAAAAAAGUAUAUGGUUAAACAAUAUCCGAGACAUAUAAAAAUUCAAAGGAUGUGAUGCUCCCAGCACGUCACGGCUAACUUACUUACUAAAUUUUUUUCACUUUUUAAGCAGGCAGAAACGUGUAUGGUUAAAGAAUACCCAAGACAUAUAAAAUUACAAUGUCCUUUUCCUACAUGCCAGAAUAUUUACUUAGAAAGGAAACUCUCCCACAAUUUCUCCUCUUCUCUCUAUAUUGUAAACUCCGUUGACAUUCUACCGAUUGUGAAUCAAUACAUUACAAAGGCGUCACUUGGGCGUGUCCCAUUACUGGACCGUCCAUUACCCUGAGGCUUGACUCUUGAGCUAAUUUCUUGUACCAUCACUUGCGCGCGUCAUAUUGCUGUACCAUCCAAUCCAAGACGGUAUGACUAGAAUCUAUUGCUGCUGUUAUUUGUCAAAUGGGGGAAAAUUUGCAGGUGUUCUAGAGAGCCGCGUAUGAAGACCGUGGAGAUGGAAACUGACCAAUCGAUCUCCCGAGUUGACUGGCUUUCGAUAACAUAACGGGAGCGAGCGGGCGACCCCGGAUCGGUGUUUUUGCAUUCGCCAGGAGAGCUUCUGCGGUUCACCUCUUUAACAGAAAUGAUCAGACCCGGUCAACGUGUCUGUCUACAAGUGUGUAGGAAAGGAGCGCAUGCUAUUGUUAGAUGAGCUGCGAUUUGCAGGGACGUGAAGAGCGGUUGAGAGUAUAUUGCUUCGAAGCCACUGAUUAUGACGAACACUACGAACCCAAAAAACAAAAUAAGAGCCACAGAUAGUUUUUUAGCUGCAUCAUCAUCAUACCAUGUCACCGUGCCUGUCGUCAAUGCCAUGUCAUCAUGUGUGCCACGCCAUCACCAUGUCAUCGAAAUAUGCCAUGUCAUUGCUUGCAUGUCAUUGAGUGAUUGUAUGUUAGGUUCAUAAAAUUGUACGUCAUGCUGGAAUAGUUCCAUAACAAUUUUACCACUCAUUGGAAUUAAUUACCGCAAGCCAAGUUGGAAUAGACAUACUUAGUGCGUCGUCGUGUUUAGAGUACUUGGAUUACAUACAUUACAUACAUUACAUUUUAGCGUUAGCUUUCACUAGAUAAGAGAAAACCUUAAAAAGGAUUUGAGUGGAAUUGUCUGUCAAUUAGAAAUCAUAUUUAUGUUAAGAAUGUGAUUUUCUAAUAAAUGUUACAGUUGCUUAUGUUACUUCAAGGUAAGUAAAUCUAUUCCUUACCCUUGCAAUCUGUUCAUCACUUUGAGUAUAGGGUGUUUUAUUAACGGUUGUGCACACGCAUGAUUACCUCACAUCUUAGUGAAAAUGUUUAAAUUUAAUCCAAUGCCCUUGCCAAAUAUUUUUUGAACAAAAGAGGAAGGUACCAAAAGGGUAUUGGAGUAAUCAAGCAUAAUCAAUUCCUUGUUGCCCUCGCGAUCUUGAGUCAGGCUUUCGGCAUCCGCUUAUACUCCAAAUCGACCUAAAUGAAAGUCCUGCUCACUGUGGUGAAUUCGUAGUGUCCAGUGUACUCUUGCAUGCAGCUUUCCGUCUCAUUGAAGUGAGAACCUCCAACUUUUUCAUCUGUAUUCUCUCCGACGUGAUGAACGCGCUUGCUUCUUUAUAUCAGAAAUUUGAAGAGAGAUAAAGGUAAUUUAACGGAAAAUUUUAUUUUCAUAGUGUUCUGUUUAUGCCGAUGUAAGCAAUGUAUGUUAAGCGAUACCAAGUCCCCCGUGAUGCUCUCAAUUCCAAACAACAAAUUUGGGCAAGGCAAACGAGAUGGUAACCGAACUACAGUUGAUGCAGCAGAAUGUGCAGAUUUUAGUCAGCAUGUGUUGCCGUAUGACUUUAGGAGACAGGAUUUGUCUAGCUUCCUAAACACAGAUUCUUGAAUAGGAGGAGCAGAUGGAGAUUCCAGUAUUCCUAAUUGCGAAGCCGAUGGCCGGUGUGAAACUGGACUGUUGAACGCGUCGUGCGGCAGCUCGGGGACUGAGUCCUCCAGCUGGAGGAACCUGAUCACUUGCCCCGCCUUUGGCCUUCUCACGGGGUCGGGGUGCACGCACCACAACCCCACCCUCAUCAGGCACUCCAUUUCCUCCCUCCGGAACCCUGAGCCCAAGGCCUCAUCGGCCGCGCCGAGGAUGUUGCUGGCGAGGUAGAGUUCCCAGACCCACUUGUGCAACGCGACCCAGACCUCUCCGUCCUCAUAGCUCCUCCGGCCGCACGCAAUCUCCAGGGCCACCACGCCGAAGCUGAACAUGUCGGACUCCUUCGUGGCCUUCCCACUAAUGAAGUACUCUGGCGCCAGGUACCCGCAAGUCCCAACCACGUCUGUUGUCUGAGACCUGAACCUGGGGUCAAUGAGCUUGGCCACUCCGAAGUCGCCGAGCCUGGUUGUGAAGCUGGUGUCGAGCAGCACGUUGGCUGCCUUUAUGUCCCGGUGGAGAACCCAUUUCUCGAGCUCCUCGUGGAGGUAGUUAAGGGCGGAUGCCAGGCCGAGCGCCACGCCGUAUCGCACAGCCCACGGCAGGCUUCUCCGGGGCCCAAAGAGGUGGUGGUCGAGGCUGCCAUUGGGCAUGUACUCGUAGACGAGCAAGAACUCACCUUCCUCUUGACACCACCCAACAAACGGCACCAGGUUUCUGUGUAUUGUUCGGCUUAUGAUCUUCACCUCGUUGACAAAGACCUUCUCGGAGUGUCGGGACUCCGCAAAGAUCCUUUUGACGGCGACCAGGCGGUUCGAAUGGCUCAAGAACCCUUUAUAGACUUGGGCAGACCCGCCUCGGCCCAGCCUUCUAUCGUCUGCGAAGCCAUUGGUCGCCGCGAGCAACUCCUGAUAAGUGAACUUCGUAGGCAAUGGGCCAAUCUCUUUAUCUAUGUCGGUAAGGGCGCUAUAACCUUGCUUUUCCCUCCUCUUGACGGCGAAAAAGCAAGAACUUGCGGAGAUCACCAGUAAAAAACAUGUCGUGGGAACAACGACCAGUAUCCAUAACCGGCGAGGUUUAUCUACGUCGUCCAAAUCCGAAGUGAACUCCCAUGAAUUGACGCUAUGUCUCUCUGGAUGGGUGCCGAAAGAAGCUGAGAACCCGAUCGCUGCAGAUUCAGGAAGGACACUUGCCAGAUCAACAAGGUAAGAAAGUGAUUGAUGGGCCUUAGAGUGGGAAAGCGGUUUGCCGUCGAACGACCAGAACACGCUGAGGUUCUUGCUCACAGAAUUGUAGGUCACGUUAACAUUGACCGCUUUCCCGCUGUGCAAUCCGGGAUCCCAGCGGGCAUGAACGAGCGACGACAGGCAAUUCAGAUUGAUUCCUAUGUGAUGCACUGGGGGAUCAUACUCACAGUUCACAUAGGUGUCGAACUCGACCAUGACAAUCUGGUUCCGAGGCCCUUCAUUAGCCGUGCUACCGUUGAACAAUCCCAAGAAUCCGCCAGCCGAGUUGGGCGGGAUCGAGAUCCCCACGGGAGCGAGGAAGAAGGCGAUGCCAUCACUGUACCGAGCAGAGCCGUCAGUCUCGAUGGUGAACGAGAAACGGGUUGAGAAGUUCGCUUGGCGCCUCGUGACAGGAUCCCUUAUGCGGACAGGCUUGGCGUACUUAAUCCGCCCCACCUGGUAGCUAUGCGUAGGAUGGAGGGAGUUGAGAUCGACAUGUCCAUACGUGGCCUCCGAAACUCCCUCGUGCAAUAUGUCCCUACUAUCCGUGUCGAAGCUGCUUAUGUUGAAGUAGAGAGGGGCAACACAGGUUAUCAAAGGACAGCAGACAAGGCAGAACAAGAACAAGCGAGCUUGCAAAGAAAGAGAACGGGGAGUCGCGUGCGGCAUACUUAAGACGAGCUUUGGUGGGAAUUGGAUCACCGACACUGCGAGAUCUAUAUGUUACAUUAGGGAGCUUUAAAAUGAACCCGAGCGUACCAAUGGCUUACCGGACACGGCGAGCAAUCAUAGAUCAAGCAGCUUCUAUGAUAGUUCCUUAUUUUCUGCUAAAGUCAGAUGGAAUAGGUUAUUAAACUUCUGGUGGGUACCAUUGCUAUCUUCCGAACACGAAAUGUCAACACGGUUUUCCCUAUCGCUCCAGCUAUUGCGCAAUUGGUGGAAAAAAUUGCGAGUGUUUGGAAGAGCCUUGGACAAAGACCAUGGACCAUGGAGAUGGAAACUGACCGAUCGAUAUUGACUGGGUGCCGGUGAUAUGAAGCUAGAGAACGAGCCAGCUGGCUGCAGAUCAAAGAUUUGAAUUUGCUGGGGGAGCUUGUGUGGUUCACCAUUUUUACAGACAUUAUCAGACCACUCAAUGUCUCUGUCCACAAUUGUGGAGGAAAGGAGAGCAAGCUUUGGUUAAAUGAAGAGACUUAAAUGAGGGUUGAGAGUCCAUUGCUCGAAAGCCAUUGAUUAUGACGAUGAAAAAACUUUUUUCGAACACUACCUAUCGAAUUAUCUUAUUCGUCAACUAUGAGUGCCAAAUCUUUCCUACAAGUUGUAUUUGAGAACUACUUUCACGUUAUCGAAGCACAAGAGCCAUGGUCAAGUUCAAUCAAACUCUUGUAGACCCUCAUUUCACAGCUUGCCCAGCCCAUCAAGAACAUUACAGGCCUAUUUGGUUCGUAAGAUAGUUUCAUUCGAUGAAACUGUAUCGUAGGUAGUAUUUUGAUAGUUCACAUGGAUGCAGAAUCUUGUGUGAUUCGGCAAGAUAAAAACAUUUUGCAAAAUCUUGGUCUAAAGAAUCC